rnacentral:rRNA from 1 species
UACGUAGGCAGCGAGCGUUGUUCGGAGUUACUGGGCGUAAAGGGUGUGUAGGCGGUUGUUUAAGUUUGGUGUGAAAUCUCCCGGCUCAACUGGGAGGGUGCGCCGAAUACUGAAUGACUUGGAGUGUGGGAGAGGUGAGUGGAAUUCCUGGUGUAGCGGUGAAAUGCGUAGAUAUCAGGAGGAACACCGGUGGUGUAGACGGCUCACUGGACCAUAACUGACGCUGAGACACGAAGACGUGGGUAGCAAACAGG